AUGACGACCCGCUUCAAGAAGAACCGGAAGAAGCGCGGCCACGUGUCCGCCGGGCACGGGCGUGUGGGCAAGCACCGCAAGCAUCCCGGAGGCCGCGGUAACGCCGGAGGCAUGCACCACCACCGCAUCCUCUUCGACAAGUACCAUCCCGGCUACUUCGGCAAGGUCGGUAUGCGCUACUUCCACAAGCUCAGCAACAGGUUCUACACCCCGACGGUCAACGUCGAGAGGCUCUGGUCCAUGGUGCCGUCCGAGAAGGCGGCCGAGGCCGGCGGCGACAAGGCCCCCGUGGUCGACGUCUCGCAGUUCGGCUACUUCAAGGUGCUCGGCAAGGGGAUGCUGCCGGAGAAGCCCAUCGUCGUCAAGGCCAAGCUCAUCUCCAAGAUCGCAGAGAAGAAGAUCAAGGCCGCCGGCGGCGCUGUCGUGCUCGUUGCCUAG
rnacentral:rRNA from 1 species